rnacentral:tRNA from 1 species
UGGCGGGUAGUGUAAUUAACAUUUGAGAUCUUGGCUCUCGAGAUGAGGGGGAAAGAAGCCCUUUCUGCCAU